CCUACGGGCGGCAGCAGUGGGGAAUAUUGGACAAUGGGGGCAACCCUGAUCCAGCCAUGCCGCGUGUGUGAAGAAGGCCCUCGGGUUGUAAAGCACUUUCAGUGAGGAAGAACGCCUGGUGGUUAAUACCCAUCAGGAAAGACAUCACUCACAGAAGAAGCACCGGCUAACUCCGUGCCAGCAGCCGCGGUAAUACGGAGGGUGCGAGCGUUAAUCGGAAUUACUGGGCGUAAAGCGCGCGUAGGUGGCUUGAUAAGCCGGUUGUGAAAGCCCCGGGCUCAACCUGGGAACGGCAUCCGGAACUGUCAAGCUAGAGUGCAGGAGAGGAAGGUAGAAUUCCCGGUGUAGCGGUGAAGUGCGUAGAGAUCGGGAGGAAUACCAGUGGCGAAGGCGGCCUUCUGGACUGACACUGACACUGAGGUGCGAAAGCGUGGGUAGCAAACAGGAUUAGAUACCCUAGUAGUC
rnacentral:rRNA from 1 species